rnacentral:rRNA from 1 species
UGAGGAAUAUUGGUCAAUGGGCGCAAGCCUGAACCAGCCAUCCCGCGUGAAGGAUGAAGGUCCUAUGGAUUGUAAACUUCUUUUAUACACCAAGAAAACUUCGGACGUGUCCGAAUCUGACGGUAGUGUAUGAAUAAGCACCGGCUAACUCCGUGCCAGCAGCCGCGGUCAUACGGAGGGUGCAAGCGUUAUCCGGAUUCAUUGGGUUUAAAGGGUGCGUAGGCGGCUUUUUAAGUCAGUGGUGAAAUCUUGCCGAUUAACGGUAAAAUUGCCAUUGAUACUGAAAAGCUUGAGUACAGUUGAGGUAGGCGGAAUGUGUAGUGUAGCGGUGAAAUGCUUAGAUAUUACACAGAACACCGAUGGCGAAGGCAGCUUACUAAACUGUUACUGACGCUGAUGCACGAAAGCGUGGGGAGCGAACA